rnacentral:misc_RNA from 1 species
UCAUUGCAACCCUCAAGCUCGGCUUGGUGUUGGGCAUCGUCCCCCGGGGCGGGCCUGGAAAUCAGUGGCGGUCCAGUGAGACUUCAAGCGUAGUAAAUUGUUCAUCCGCUUUGGAAGCUUCUCCCUGCGUGCCAGCCGGAAAACCUUAUAUUUUUUCAAUGGUUGACCUCGGAUCAGGUAGGGAUACCCGCUGAACUUAA